rnacentral:lncRNA from 1 species
CUUCCCAUCAGCCCUUGAGGCUGCAGGGACCAGCCCUUUGUGGAGAAGCCCAGGCGGCCUAGAAUCCAGUGUCGUCCGUGAGUGCUUGGCUGGUGUUCAAGUGCAUCUUCCAGCCUGAGACCGCGUGGACUCGCUCAUCGUGAGGGCGAGAGGAGGAUAAGCCCAUUGGGCUGUCGGCUGAGAGUGAGGUGCGGGACCAUCCACAAUAUUGUUUGAACAUCUGAAGACAUGGGGAACUUGCCAUCUGAUAUCUGAUAACAGACUUCCUGUAAAGCAGGACUGGUAGUUUCCUGAUAACAAAUUCUUCAAUAUGAAGGAUAUAGCUGUGUCCUUUACAACUGGUAGCAUGGAAAGAAAGAGAAGUCUGCAAAGAUUGAACAAACAGCAUGCACUGUGUUGAGAGUCAGCAAAACUGGCAGGUGGAAGGGGAAAGAGAAAUGGAGAGUUUGAACAUCUGCAGUGUA